rnacentral:rRNA from 1 species
GUCCCAGCCGCCGCGGUAAUACGGAGGAUGCGAGCGUUAUCCGGAUUCAUUGGGUUUAAAGGGUGCGCAGGCGGAUAUAUAAGUCGGAGGUGAAAUUCUGAUGCUCAACAUCAGCCGUGCCUUCGAUACUGUAUAUCUAGAGUCAAGUUGGAGUAGGCGGAAUGUGUUGUGUAGCGGUGAAAUGCUUAGAUAUAACACAGAACACCGAUCGCGAAGGCAGCUUACUAAACUUUGACUGACGCUCAUGCACGAAAGCGUGGGGAUCAAACAGGAUUAGAUACCCUGGUAGUCCACGCUGUAAACGAUGAUUACUCGCUGUUGGCGAUACACAGUCAGUGGCUAAGCGAAAGUGAUAAGUAAUCCACCUGGGGAGUACGACGGCAACGUUGAAACUCAAAGGAAUUGACGGGGGCCCGCACAAGCGGAGGAGCAUGUGGUUUAAUUCGAUGAUACGCGAGGAACCUUACCAGGGCUAGAACGCAAGUUGAUUAUGUGCGAAAGUAUAUAUCUCUUCGGAGCAAUUUGCGAGGUGCUGCAUGGUUGUCGUCAGCUCGUGCCGUGAGGUGUCAGGUUAAGUCCUAUAACGAGCGCAACCCCUACUCUUAGUUGCCAGCAUGUAAUGAUGGGGACUCUAAGAGAACUGCCUACGCAAGUAGAGAGGAAGGUGGGGAUGACGUCAAAUCAGCACGGCCCUUAUGUCCUGGGCUACACACGUACUACAAUGGUCGGUACAGAGGGCAGCUACCUGGCGACAGGAUGCUAAUCUCAAAAGCCGAUCUCAGUUCGGAUCGGANUCUGCAACUCGACUCCGUGAAGUUGGAUUCGCUAGUAAUCGCGCAUCAGCCAUGGCGCGGUGAUACGUUCCCGGGCCUUGUACACNCCGCCCGUCANGCCAUGGAA